CACGUAGGGCGCAAGCGUUGUCCGGAAUUAUUGGGCGUAAAGAGCUCGUAGGCGGUCUGUUGCGUCCGCUGUGAAAACUCGGGGCUUAACCCCGAGCCUGCAGUGGAUACGGGCAGACUAGAGGUAGGUAGGGGAGAAUGGAAUUCCCGGUGUAGCGGUGAAAUGCGCAGAUAUCGGGAGGAACACCGGUGGCGAAGGCGAGUCCCUGGACACUUCCUGACACUGAGGCACGAAAGCUAGGGGAGCAAACAGG
rnacentral:rRNA from 1 species